rnacentral:ncRNA from 24 species
AUUGUUUGAGGUGGAAGAUUUCGUACCCGUCCACACGCCGAUGGCUUGACAGGGGGAAACCCCGAGAGAUGCAGGAGAUUUGGUACGCCUGCCAAACAAU